rnacentral:rRNA from 1 species
CCUACGGGAGGCAGCAGUGGGGAAUAUUGCGCAAUGGACGAAAGUCUGACGCAGCGACGCCGCGUGAAGGAUGACGGUCUUCGGAUUGUAAACUUCUGUUAAGUGGGAAGAAAUACCUUUGGUUAAUACUCAGAGGGGCUGACGGUACCACUAGAGAAAGCACCGGCAAACUUCGUGCCAGCAGCCGCGGUAAUACGAAGGGUGCAAGCGUUAUUCGGAGUGACUGGGCGUAAAGAGCGCGUAGGCGGCCCUAUAAGUCACCUGUUAAAUUCCACCGCUUAACGGUGGGUCAGCAGGCGAUACUGUAAGGCUAGAGGAUAAGAGAGAGAAGUGGAAUUCUCGGAGUAGCGGUAAAAUGCGUAGAUCUCGAGAGGAACACCGGUAGCGAAGGCGGCUUCUUGGCUUAUGCCUGACGCUGAGGCGCGAAAGCGUGGGGAGCAAACAGGAUUAGAUACCCCGGUAGUC